UAAAUAAAACAUCGAAGACUUUUUAGGAU
rnacentral:piRNA from 1 species